CACCUGUCCGCGAGCCCUCUGAGAGCCACACACACCGAGGGGUCCGGAGGGAGGAUCCAGCAGCAGGCCUGAAGGAGACCGGAUCAACAACCUGCAGGUGGAUGAAGGAGAAUGAAGGAGUGAAGCAGCUGAUCAUGAAACAUGAGGUUAGAGAGGAUCGACUCUUUAUUAUUCAGGUCUGAAAAAACAAAAACGACUUUAUUUUCAGCAGAUUUUAUCCAGUUCUUCCAAAUCAUUUCAGUGAAAACUGAAACAUUCAGUUCUCACUAUAAAAAAAGAAUAAAACUUUUAUUUUAAAAUGAUGUAUUCGAGUUAAAUUAAAUUCAAUCUAAACGAAAAUUAUUCCACAUUCUCUGCUAAUAUGAGACUGAAGCUGCUGCUCAUGAAGAAUGAAGGCCCCUGUGUUUUAAAGUGAUAGAUCUGUAAUUGUGUGACACAGCCCUGCCCCCUAGUGGCCAAAAUGUAAAAGUGCAGAAAGGAUACGCAACAGUGUUUCUACAUUCAGCGUUUUCCUGGAGUUAAAAAUAAAAAACAAACAUUGGCUUAAAAAUAGUGAAAAUAAAUAAAUAAAAAAACAUAAAUAAAAGAAUAAAGUCAAGAUGGUUUUAUUUCAGGACCAAAUCAAACUGUAACAGAAAAAGAAAAACUCAAUUCCUUCCAUAAGUGAGAACAAACUUUCAGUUGCUUUGGGCCCAACCCUCAAUGGGGCUCUAAGCAAAAUUCGAUUUUGGGGCCCUCUGUUUCUGCCAAUAAUAUUGAUUGUUGAUCAGUCACACCCCUUCACAACUCUCUUUGAUUAACAUUCCCUGACAUGCGAACAUUACCUUUAACUUGGCAUUUUUUUCUCUUCUUUUUGUCCCUUCUCUGUUCUUUUUUGCAUCAUUGUUUUGCUCCACAACUACCUGCUCUUCGGAUGUUCAGAGCACAUUUCACAGAAAUCCUGUAAGAAUCACAGGCCCACAUCAGCAGCAGCACUAAAAUGUUUUUACUGUAUUUUAUUUUUAUAAUAAUAUAUAUUUGAUCAAACAGAAAGCAUCACUCAUACAUCCAAAAAAACUAAUAUCUAUACUUUCCAUAAGAACCCUGAAAAGAUCUGAAGUUGAUGACAUGCAGACAGAGAGAGGAGAGCUCAGGGUCCUGAACUCUAACCUCUAUCAAAAAUGAGAUCCUGAAGUUCCUAAAACAAGAGAGGGUGUCUGCCUCCCAGACCCUGACUGGUCCCACUUAGAACGGCUUUGAAACGCUUUAAUGACCCCAAAUAUUCCUCUUUAAAUAUUUCUGAACAACGAGGUCAUCCAAGGUUUGCAAUAAAAUCUCACUUUCCUGCUUAAAUUCUAUGAAUCAAAAACACAUUUAUCAGAAUCAGAUGAGAUCUCUGUGUGAAAUCAUCCUGAUCCUCAUAUAAGUCGUUCCAGCUCAAAUUAGCAGUUAAUGGUAAGACAGCGCCCUCUGCUGCUGAACUGAUGCACACACAGGAUGAGCAUCAACGUCAGCAGGAAAAGAAAAAAAAAAACUACAAUUUAGUUUUUAACCAGAUUUCCUGAAUCUCUAAACUGUUAAAUUCUCUUCUAAAGCAUCAAACGACCAACAGCAGAGAUCGUCUGAUUUCAUCUGUUUGUGACUUUUUCUGGAGAAGUUCAACUUUUCUCUGCAGGAACUUCAUGGUCAGUGUUUAUAUUAGGUACCUAAUUAAACACAGACAGAUUUCCAAAAUAACUCGGGACCUCAAAGUCGUGCACCCAACGAGAACAUUGGAAUUGGUUCUCAAAUAAAUAGCCGUCAAUCAUCCAUGUGCAGAACAUUAAUCUUGUGUUUGCUGCUCCGGCUGUGACUGGUUUGGAGGAGGGUGAAGCUGUUCUCAAGGACACAGAGCGCCUCACAGAAUGGCAGCUUUUGCAUUUUUGUAACCCCCCAAAAACCCGGUAUUUCAGCGCAGACGACGGAGCAGCGAGAAAAAGGUUUCUGCAAAUCCAAAUAAGGCCAUGAGAAACGGCUGAGAAAGCUCUCCUUCACUUUGAGCUGUUUCUGAUUUAUAGGCCCUGAUGAAUGGCAUAAUUUCCUCGUAAGAUGACACACGAGCUGUCUUAUCUCUCUUUGUUUGCACGCAACUUCAAAUCAGAUCAAGAUUAGCUGACCCUGGAGACAUAUUUGGGGAUGUUUGCUUCACUUUUUGUUCUGUAAACUGUUUAAAAGAGGCUCCUCUGAACUCCAGACAAGAUGUCAGAAAACACGCCAGGAUAGUUUUACAGAUUAAAAUCCUUUUUCAGAAAUUCAGAGGAGCUGUUAGACGUUGAAAAAUCAAUUUGAAAUGGGCUAAAGCGAGAAUAAAUCCUGCAGAAUAACAGAUAAGUUUAAUUUGAGGUUUAAUUUCACAGCGAAAGGGGAAUCAGCUCAUGUGCAGGUUAUUAGAGAUGCAGAAUCGUCUGGAUUAGACGAUAAAAAGUCAUUUUUCCUGCUUGUUCGAGAUUCAAACUUCAAGUUACUUUAAGUAGAGAGCAGACCAAAACCUUCAUACUGAACUCUGCCCCCUGGUGGACCACCUGAGACCCCCUUCAUUCUAUGAGGGGUUGGUAUUUGCAGGUUGGAAAUGCACAUUCAUGAUGUGGUUCUUCUUGCUUCGUCGAGCAGUGACCUUCAGCUCUUGCUGGGGCGGUUCACAGCCGAGUGUGAAGCGGCUGGGAUGUGAAUCAGCACCUUCAAGUCCGAGGACAUGGUCCUCAGUCAGAAAGAGGUAGAUCGCCUUCUCCAGGUUGGAGGAGAGGUCUGGCCUCAAGUGGAGGAGGUCAAGUAUCUCAGGAUCUUGUUCACGAGUGAGGGUAGGAUGGAGCAGGAGAUCGACAGGCGGAUCAGAGCGGCGUCAGCAGUGAUGCGGAUGAUUAACCGAUCUGUCAUGGUGAAGAAAGAGCUGAGCUGUAAGGUGAAACUCUCGAUUUACUGGUUGAUCUACGUGCCGAUCCUCACCUAUGGUCAUGAACUUUGGGUAAUGACCGAAAGAACAAGAUCGCAGAUACAAGCGGCUGAAAUGGGUUUCCUCCUCAGGGUGUCCGGGCUCAGCCUUAGAGAUAGGGUAAGGAGCUCAGACACUCGGGAGGAGCUCAGAGGAGAACCGCUGCUCCUCCACGUCCAGAGGAGUCAGCUGAGGUGGUUCGGGCAUCUGGUCAGGACGCCUUCUGGACGCCUCUUGUUAGAGGUCUUCCGGACAUGUCCCUUGUGGCCGGCCCAGGACCAGGUGGAGGGAUUAUAUCUCUCGCCUGGCCUGAGAAUCCCCCCGGAGGAUGAGCUGGUGGAAGUGGCCGGGGUGAGGGCCGUCUGGGCUUCCCUUCUGAAGCUGCUGCCCCUGUGACCUAUAUCUGGAUGAAGAAGAAGAAAACGACGACGACGACGAAAGGCACAUUCAUGCACAAACACUGAUCUAUAGACAUCCACCAGUACAGAUCAGACAGGUGUCGCACUUCUCCAUCUACUAACUUUAUUUCCAGGCUUCGGUCUGGACCAACUCUCAAACCCGUGACCCUCUGUGGUCUCUACAGACCGAACUGCAGCUGCUGGGUCUUUGUAUCCGUCUCUCAUACAGGUUCUCUGCAUUGGCAUAAAGUGGAUUUAGUCAUGUAGACUUUCUGAGCCCUUUAUGCAGGGAUGUGGCACCAAGAAUCUGCCCCUCCAUAUGAAGAGUCAUUCACUCUCUUAUCAGUGUGGGUUUCUAUAGCAGGAUUAAGAACCUAUAAGCUCAAAAGUCUUUUUCACUUUUGUCUGACACCCCUGUCUUUAUGCACCCAUCUCUGCAGAGAAAAUUACCCAUAAUUCACUUUUUCCUCAUGCAAUCACCACAAUUUCUGCAGAGUUAAAAGUUCCACCUCCUGUUUCUGAUCUCAUUCUCACUUUUAUACACAUAGAAACACAUUCAUACUCACCUUAGAUGUUCAUCUUUCAGAGGAGACCGCAGAAGAGUAAAUGAGGAUGACAGAUCUGAUGUCAGCUUCCUCUGACCUGCUCUGUAAAUGAAAACACUUAAAUUAUCUUUCAGUGACAGAAACAGUCAACUGAAAACUGUCUUUGGGUUUGUCAUGAAAUAAAUUCUCCUUAUUUAGACCUGAUUAUCAGUGAGACGUGAAACAAUGAACUGCAGUCUCAGUCUGAACUGACUGUAAUUUACAAAAUUAAAAUUAAAUCUCAUAGAUAAAUUCACAACUUGCACAGGAAGCUUAGCAUCAUUUCCCCUUGAAGCUGCUGAAGUGGAGGCUCCCCCUGCUGGUUAUUGGAAAGAAUGCAGGUUUAAGGUCACCUUUGUUGUAUUCACAUUUUAUCUACAGUCCAGAUAAGACCGAUGGAUCACAGGGUUUCUUGCUUAAUGCCUAAAGACGUGAAAAGGAGAGCACUCAAGCUUUACUGAGG